GUAUUGAAUUAUAUCAAUAUAUUAUGUCGCUUUCUUGGUAAUGAUAAACAUUCUGUCUUUCCAGAAAGGAAAAAGUAAAGAGUAGAAGAGUUGAAACUGACAUAUAUAAGAGUUUUAGCUCGACUCGAGAGCGGGUUCCGUCAAAAGAUAGAUUUGUACGUUUGGCGGAAACUCCUUACGGUGUUUCCGCCAUUCAUCUUCAGCGUGCAUCUUCAUCGAUCACCUACCCCGAGCAUCUCCGCUGUUCAUUUCCAGCGUGCAUCCCAAUGUUUACCUACACCGUAUCUCUCUAUCGUUCGUAUCCACAGUUGAUUGUCGCCGUUCAUCUCCAACAUGCGUCAUUACCGUUCAUCUAUACCAUACGUCUCCACCGUCCAACAUUACGAUCAUCCUCUACAGAAGGAAGGAAACAACAUCGUCAUCGUCGUCCGAUAUUGCCGUGUGAGAACUGUCAUCUAAACCGAUACUUUCUUUUUUAUCGAAUUGUUCCUCCAACCCGAGAUAUUUGUUUUAACAAUGAAUUGUCGGGAAACAACUUGUGAAAAUCUCUCUCUUUUAAACUAAUAAAGGAAGCUGUUGAUUUAUUAACCGUAGUUUGUGUGUGUCGAAACAUCCGCCUCAUCACACGUCCUUAUCCGCAGUAAGACCUAACGCCUGUCCAUUUCGUCCAUCGGUCUCGUGAGAGCUCCACAAUUAUAAAUAUGUUACAGUAAUUGGCUCUUGAUUAUUUGAUACUUAUUCUCCUUUUUCUCCUUUGAUUAAAUAAAUCUUUUGUGCGCUUUCGGUAAAAUAUUAUACAUUCUACUUUUUAUAAACAUGACGAAUUAAUAUUACUACUAUAAUAAACAAUAACAUAUAUAAAAAACAUAAUUCAAAUAUCAGUAUUAUACUGAGAAAAAAUAGUUUAGAAACGGCUGUUUGAUCAAUGUUAUAUAUUUUAUUUUCUUCUUAACAUCGUCCG
rnacentral:lncRNA from 1 species